GCGAGAGGAGGCCAGCGUUAUCCGGAAUUAUUGGGCGUAAAGCGUCCUAAGGUGGUUUGGCAAGUCUGGGGUUAAAGCCCGGUGCCUAACUCCGGAUCGGCCCUGGAAACUGCCAGACUAGAGUAAGGUAGGGGUUGCGGGAAUUCCCGGUGUAGCGGUGAAAUGCGUAGAUAUCGGGAAGAACACCAGUGGCGAAAGCGCGCAACUGGGCCAUUAAUGACUCUGAGGGACGAAAGCUAGGGGAGCGAAUGGG
rnacentral:rRNA from 1 species